rnacentral:rRNA from 1 species
UGGGGAAUAUUGGACAAUGGGGGCAACCCUGAUCCAGCCAUGCCGCGUGAGUGAUGAAGGCCUUCGGGUUGUAAAGCUCUUUUGGCGGGGACGAUGAUGACGGUACCCGCAGAAUAAGCCCCCGGCUAACUUCGUGCCAGCAGCCGCGGUAAGACGAAGGGGGCUAGCGUUGUUCGGAAUUACUGGGCGUAAAGCGAGUGUAGGCGGUUGCCGUAGUCAGGUGUGAAAGCCUUGAGCUCAACUCAAGAAAUGCACUUGAUACUGGGUGACUAGAGGACCGGAGAGGAUAGUGGAAUUCCCAGUGUAGUGGUGAAAUACGUAGAGAUUGGGAAGAACACCAGUGGCGAAGGCGGCUAUCUGGACGGUUACUGACGCUAAGACUCGAAAGCGUGGGGAGCAAACAGGAUUAGAUACCCUGGUAGUCCACGCCGUAAACGAUGGGUGCUAGACGUUGGCGAGCUUGCUCGUCAGUGUCGCAGCUAACGCGUUAAGCACCCCGCCUGGGGAGUACGGCC